GCUCCUGUGGCGCAAUCGGUUAGCGCGUCGUACUUAUAAUGCGAAGGGCGUGGGUUCGAACCCCACCAGGAGCA
rnacentral:tRNA from 1 species